AGUGAACGCUGGCGGUAGGCCUAACACAUGCAAGUCGAACGGCAGCACAGGAGAGCUUGCUCUCUGGGUGGCGAGUGGCGGACGGGUGAGGAAUACAUCGGAAUCUACUCUGUCGUGGGGGAUAACGUAGGGAAACUACGCUAAUACCGCAUACGACCUACGGGUGAAAGCAGGGGACCUUCGGGCCUUGCGCGAUUGAAUGAGCCGAUGUCUGAUUAGCUAGUUGGCGGGGUAAAGGCCCACCAAGGCGACGAUCCGUAGCUGGUCUGAGAGGCUGAUCAGCCACACUGGAACUGAGACACGGUCCAGACUCCUACGGGAGGCAGCAGUGGGGAAUAUUGGACAAUGGGCGCAAGCCUGAUCCAGCCAUACCGCGUGGGUGAAGAAGGCCUUCGGGUUGUAAAGCCCUUUUGUUGGGAAAGAAAUCCAGCUGGCUAAUACCCGGUUGGGAUGACGUUACCCAAAGAAUAGGCACCGGCUAACUUCGUGCCAGCCGCCGCGGUAA
rnacentral:rRNA from 1 species